rnacentral:lncRNA from 11 species
UGCAGAAAUGGUCGUAGAUACAAAGUCUAUCAUGGGGAUGGGGAAUUCACUCUCCAAAAGCCUGUUGGAAGAUAACUUUUUCCAACUUCUAGUUGAUCAAGAUAUUUAAAUCACCAUGGGACCAUGAAUGGCUGCUCGCACCACAAAAUCCAC